UUAGUACUCCCUCCGUUCGGAAUUACUUGUCACAAAAAUGAUAUAUCUACAACUAAAAUACAUCUAGAUACAUUCAUUUCUUAGAUGAGUAAUUCCGAACGGAGGGAGUACCAU
rnacentral:pre_miRNA from 1 species